AGUGAACGCUGGCGGUAGGCCUAACACAUGCAAGUCGAACGGCAGCACAGUAAGAGCUUGCUCUUACGGGUGGCGAGUGGCGGACGGGUGAGGAAUACAUCGGAAUCUACUUUUUCGUGGGGGAUAACGUAGGGAAACUUACGCUAAUACCGCAUACGACCUACGGGUGAAAGCAGUGGAUCUUCGGACCUUGCGCGAUUGAAUGCGCCGAUGUCGGAUUAGCUAGUUGGCGGGGUAAAGGCCCACCAAGGCGACGAUCCGUAGCUGGUCUGAGAGGAUGAUCGGCCACACUGGAACUGAGACACGGUCCAGACUCCUACGGGAGGCAGCAGUGGGGAAUAUUGGACAAUGGGCGCAAGCCUGAUCCAGCCAUACCGCGUGGGUGACGAAGGCCUUCGGGUUGUAAAGCCCUUUUGUUGGGAAAGAAAAGCAGCAGGUUAAUACCCCGCUGUUCUGACGGUACCCAAAGAAUAAGCACCGGCUAACUUCGUG
rnacentral:rRNA from 1 species